GACGAACGCUGGCGGCGUGCUUAACACAUGCAAGUCGAGCGGUAAGGCCCUUUCGGGGGUACACGAGCGGCGAACGGGUGAGUAACACGUGGGUGACCUGCCUUUAGCUCUGGGAUAAGCCUGGGAAACUGGGUCUAAUACCGGAUAUGACCCUAUGGCGCAUGUUGUGGGGUGGAAAGCCUUGUGCGGCUAGGGAUGGGCCCGCGGCCUAUCAGCUUGUUGGUGGGGUGAUGGCCUACCAAGGCGACGACGGGUAGCCGGCCUGAGAGGGCGACCGGCCACACUGGGACUGAGACACGGCCCAGACUCCUACGGGAGGCAGCAGUGGGGAAUCUUGCGCAAUGGGCGAAAGCCUGACGCAGCGACGCCGCGUGAGGGAUGACGGCCUU
rnacentral:rRNA from 1 species